AAAGGAUGCAAUUGCCAGAAGCUCCCAGCCCAUCUCCAACUCCACAGUCUACCUCCUCUCCCUCCCAACCCUCUUCUCCUCCUCAUCCUCCAGACUCUUCCACCUUCCUCCCAUCUACUUCUCAUCCCCAAAUGGACUAUGAGGAGGAGACUUACACCCUAACCCUCGUCCCUGUCCAGCCUCCAAGCACCGCCUCAGCAUCUCCCUCUCACAAAACCAUGACUGAAAGUGUGUCUGCACAGUGCUCCUGCUCUCCCACACCUACUAUCUCCCUGACCAGUGCAACAGGUGAAGGGAAGAAAAAGAGGAAGAGAGGCUGCUGAAAAUGUUAGAAGCAAAAAAUAUUUCACUACAAUGAAAUAAAAGAAACAACUAAAGGAGGUAAUUAACUGACUGAGUGAAAUAGCAGUUCAUUUAACAGUGGUUGCUGGAAUGUUUCUGUGUGUGUGUGUGUGUGUGUGUGUGUGUGUGUGUGUGUGUGUGUGUGUGUGUGUGUGUGCAGGAAGAGAAGAGGUAAAAGUGAGCUGGCUGCCUUGUUCCUCGUGUGGCAAAACUUGGGAAGACACCUGGGAGCCUGCCAGCAACUUUAUAGGCUCCAUUUAAUGUUUUAGUUUGUGUGUCUUUAAGACACCUGUAUGUUGAAUGUUGUUCUCUCUCUGUCUCUCUCUCUCUCUCUCUCUCUCUCUCUCUCUCUCUCUCUCUCUCUCUCUGUGCAUGAAUAAAAAUAAAGAUUUGUUCAUUUGUUUUAUUUCAGUUCAGUUUGUUUGCCUUUUUCAUUACAUUUUGAAUGUUUCUUUCACACACUCAUCCACAUCUCCUUUAGUUUGUAAUAUGCAAGUCAUAUAUACAAUAUUAUAUCAUAAGCAAUGAAAAAAUACCUAUAAUAAAUAUCAGGAAACACUGAGCAAUAUGU